rnacentral:rRNA from 1 species
GACGUAGGGCGCGAGCGUUGUCCGGAUUUAUUGGGCGUAAAGAGCUCGUAGGCGGCUUGUCGCGUCGUGUGUGAAAUCUCAGGGCUCAACUCUGACAUUGCAUACGAUACGGGCAGGCUUGAGUUCGGUAGGGGAGACUGGAAUUCCUGGUGUAGCGGUGAAGUGCGCAGAUAUCAGGAGGAACACCGGUGGCGAAGGCGGGUCUCUGGGCCGAUACUGACGCUGAGGAGCGAAAGCGUGGGGAGCGAACAGG